UGCAGCAGCCCAUCUUCUCUUCAGCAAUUUGAAGUCCAUCAAAAGCCCAAUUUCGGCCCAUUUGAAAUCAGCCCUCAAUCGGUGAAGUCUAGCAAGCCCAUCUUGAAGCCCAGCUCAGUUUAGUUUCAAGCCCAGCAUCGUUUGUAUUUCAGCAGGACCCAGCAAGUUUAGCCCAUCUUGGGCCCAUGAAGCAAGUCGGCCCAAGUUCGGCC
rnacentral:lncRNA from 1 species